rnacentral:rRNA from 1 species
GGCUCAGAUUGAACGCUGGCGGCAUGCCUUACACAUGCAAGUCGAACGGCAGCGACGGGGCAACCUGGUGGCGAGUGGCGAACGGGUGAGUAAUGCAUCGGAACGUGCCAUUGAGUGGGGAUAACGUAGCGAAAGUUGCGCUAAUACCGCAUAUUCUGUGAGCAGGAAAGCAGGGGACCGCAAGGCCUUGCGCUCUUUGAGCGGCCGAUGUCAGAUUAGCUAGUUGGUGAGGUAACGGCUUACCAAGGCGACGAUCUGUAGCGGGUCUGAGAGGAUGAUCCGCCACACUGGAACUGAGACACGGUCCAGACUCCUACGGGAGGCAGCAGUGGGGAAUUUUGGACAAUGGGCGCAAGCCUGAUCCAGCCAUGCCGCGUGAGUGAAGAAGGCCUUCGGGUUGUAAAGCUCUUUCGGCCGGGAAGAAAUCGCAUGGGUUAAUACCCUGUGUGGAUGACGGUACCGGAAUAAGAAGCACCGGCUAACUACGUG